UCCGUAGCUGGACUGAUAAGUCUCUUGGGAAAUCCGCCGGCUUAACCGGCGGGCGUCCAGGAGAUACUGUUGGUCUAGGGACCGGGAGAGGUGAGAGGUACUCCGGGGGUAGGAGUGAAAUCCUGUAAUCCCUGGGGGACCACCGAUGGCGAAGGCAUCUCACCAGAACGGCUCCGACAGUGAGGGACGAAAGCUGGGGGAGCGAACAGGAUUAGAUACCCUGGUAGUCC
rnacentral:rRNA from 1 species